GAUAAACGCUGGCGGCGUGCAUAACACAUGCAAGUCGAACGAUGAACCUUAUUAUAUUUCUUCAGAAUGAAAAUAAGUGGAUUAAUGGCCAACGGGUGACUAACACGUGAGUAACCUGCCUUACACAAAGGGAUAGACUUUGGAAACGAAAAAUAAUACCCUAUAAAGUUAGUCAAUCCCAUGGAAUACUAACCAAAGAUUUAUCGGUGUAAGAUGGACUUGCAUCUGAUUAUCUAGUUGGAGAGAUAAAAGCCCACCAGGGCGACAAUCACUACCCGGAUUGAGAGAGUGUACAGCCACAUUGAGACUGAGACACGGCCCAAACUCCUACUGGAGGCAUCCCUGGGGAAUUUUGCACGAUGGGGGAAACCCUGAUGCAUCGACGCCGCAUGAUUUAGAAGGCCUUCGGGUUGUAAAAAUCUUUUUUAUGGGAUGAAAAUGACACUACCAUACGAAUAAGGUCCGGCUAAAUACGUGCCACCAGCCGCGGUAAUACCUAUGGACCGAUCGUUGUCCGGAAUCAUUGGCCGUAAAGGGUACCUAGGCGGCCUAUUUAGUUAUAACUGAAAUAAUAUAGCUCAACUAUAUAGAGCUUUUAAAACUGUUAGGCUUGAUAGAUGAAAUGCAAAGAUGGAAUUCCUAGUGUAGCGGUGAAAUGCGCAGAUAUUAGGAAGAAUACCGGUGGCGAAGGCGACUUUCUGGUCAUCAUCUGACCCUGAGAGGACGCAAAGCGUGGGUAGCAAACAGGAUUAGAUACCCUGGUAGUCCACGCUGUAAACGAAGAGUGUUAGGUUCUUGGAAUAAUCUGGGAGCCGCAACUAACGCAUUAAACACUCCGCCUGGGGAGUACGCACGCGAGUGUGAAACUCAAAGGAAUUGACGGGGACCCGCACAAGCAGCGGAGCAUGUGGUUUAAUUCGACGCAACGCGAAGAACCUUACCAAGUCUUGACAUAAUCCGGAGGGAGUUAGAGAUAAUUCCUUAUCACUUCGGUGAGCUGUAUUACAGGUGGUGCAUGGUUGUCGUCACCUCGUGUCGUGAGAUGUUGGGUUAAGUCCCAUAACGAGCGCAACCCCUAUCGUUAGUUACCAUCAUUAAGUUGGGGACUCUACCCAUACUGCCGGUGCUAAACCGGAGGAAGGUGGGGACGACGUCAAAUCAUCAUGCCCUUUAUGACAUGUGCUACACACCUGUUACAAUGGCAGAUCCAGAGGGCAGCGAAAGAGCGAUCUGAAGCGAAAUUCACAAAGUCUGUCCCAGUUCGGAUUGUACUCUGCAACUCGAGUCCAUGAAGUUGGAGUUGCUAGUAAUCGCGAAUCAGAAUGUCGCGGUGAAUGCGUUCCCGGGUCU
rnacentral:rRNA from 1 species